AACGCACCUUGCGCUCCUUGGUAUUCUGAGGAGCAUGUCUGUUUGAGUGUCACAUUAAUACCUCACUCGACUCUGACAACUUCAGAGUGGGGUGGACUUUGGACUCUGCCGUGAUUGGCUUGUCCUGAAAUGCAUUGGCUCCUCCAAAGGCUUGCCACCAUGGUGUGAUAGUUAUCUGCGCCAUCUCGGUGUGCCUUCUGGGGCCCUAAUAACAUAUUGGACGUUUGACCUCAAAUCAGACAGGACAACCCGCUGAACUUAA
rnacentral:misc_RNA from 1 species